rnacentral:rRNA from 1 species
UACGUAUGGUGCAAGCGUUAUCCGGAUUUACUGGGUGUAGAGGGAGCGCAGGCGGCGCGUUAAGCCUGGUGUGAAAGCCCGCGGCCCAACCGCGGGACUGCAUUGGGAACUGGCGCGCUGGAGUGCCGGAGGGGUAGGCGGAAUUCCUAGUGUAGCGGUGAAAUGCGUAGAUAUUAGGAGGAACACCAGUGGCGAAGGCGGCCUACUGGACGGUGACUGACGCUGAGGCUCGAAAGCGUGGGGAGCAAACAGG